GUGCUCACUUCCACAGCACGCAUACUAAAAUUGGAACGAUACAGAGAAGAUUAACAUGGGCCCUGCGCAAAGAUGACACACACACAAAAAAGAGGGCACUUGCCUUG